CACGUAGUUAGCCGGGGCUUCUUCUGCAGGUACCGUCAUCUUCGUCCCUGCUGAUAGAGCUUUACAUACCGAAAUACUUCUUCACUCACGCGGCGUCGCUGCAUCAGGGUUCCCCCCCAUUGUGCAAUAUUCCCCACUGCUGCCUCCCGCAGGAGUCUGGGCCGUGUCUCAGUCCCAAUGUGGCCGGUCGCCCUCUCAGGCCGGCUACCGAUCGUCGCCUUGGUGGGCCGUUACCCCUCCAACUAGCCUAAUCGGACGCGGAUUCAUCCUACACCGAUAAAUCUUUCCCUGUUCUCUCAUGCGAGAAUACAGUCUAUGCGGUAUUAGCAGCCGUUUCGCUGUUACUCCCCUGUGUAGGGCAGAUUAUCCACGCGUUACUCCACCCGUCCGCCACUUGAUAAGAAUGCAAGCAUCUCUUACUCCCGUUCGACUUGCUACGUGUGUUAGGCCACCGCCCGCCUAAGUCGUU
rnacentral:rRNA from 1 species